AGGGUUUGAUCAUGGCUCAGAACGUACGCUGGCGGCACGCCUAACACAUGCAAGUCGAACGAAGUAGCAAUACUUAGUGGCAGACGGGUGAGUAACAUGUAGGUAUCUGCCCUUUGGCCUGGAAUAACACGAGGAAACUUGUGCUAAUACCGGAUAAGUCUUUACGGAGAAAGCUUUAUGCACCAUUGGAUGAGCCUGCACUUGAUUAGUUUGUUGGUGGGGUAAUGGCCUACCAAGACUGUGAUCAAUAGCUGAUUUGAGAGGAUGAUCAGCCACAUUGGGACUGAGACACGGCCCAAACUCCUACGGGAGGCAGCAGUGGGGAAUCUUGCACAAUGGAGGAAACUCUGAUGCAGCGAUGCCGCGUGAGUGAAGAAGGCCCUUGGGUUGUAAAGCUCUUUCGUCGGGGAAGAAAAUGACUGUACCCGAAUAAGAAGGUCCGGCUAACUUCGUGCCAGCAGCCGCGGUAAUACGAAGGGACCUAGCGUAGUUCGGAAUUACUGGGCUUAAAGAGUUCGUAGGUGGUUGAAAAAGUUAGUGGUGAAAUCCCAGAGCUUAACUCUGGAACUGCCAUUAAAACUUUUCAGCUAGAGUAUGAUAGAGGAAAGCAGAAUUUCUAGUGUAGAGGUGAAAUUCGUAGAUAUUAGAAAGAAUACCAAUUGCGAAGGCAGCUUUCUGGAUCAUUACUGACACUGAGGAACGAAAGCAUGGGUAGCGAAGAGGAUUAGAUACCCUCGUAGUCCAUGCCGUAAACGAUGUGUGUUAGACGUUGGAAAUUUAUUUUCAGUGUCGCAGGGAAACCGAUAAACACACCGCCUGGGGAGUACGACCGCAAGGUUAAAACUCAAAUGAAUUGACGGGGACCCGCACAAGUAGUGGAGCAUGUGGUUUAAUUCGAAGAUACGCGCAGAACCUUACCAACACUUGACAUGUUCGUCGCGACUCUAAGAGAUUAGAGUUUUCGGUUCGGCCGGACGAAACACAGGUGCUGCAUGGCUGUCGUCAGCUCGUGUCGUGAGAUGUUGGGUUAAGUCCCGCAACGAGCGCAACCCUCACUUUUAGUUGCCAUCAUUAAGUUGGGCACUCUGAAAGAACUGCCAGUGAUAAGCUGGAGGAAGGUGGGGAUGACGUCAAGUCCUCAUGGCCCUUACGUGUUGGGCUACACACGUGCUACAAUGGUAUCUACAACAGGAAGCAAGACUGCGAAGUUAAGCAAAUCCCUAAAAGAUACCUCAGUUCGGAUUGCACUCUGCAACUCGAGUGCAUGAAGCUGGAAUUACUAGUAAUCGUGGAUCAGCGUGCCACGGUGAAUGCGUUCCCGGGUCUUGUACACACCGCCCGUCACACCAUGGGAGUUGGUUCUACCUUAAGGCAAGGUUUCAAACCCUUGACCACGGUAUAGUCAGCGACUGGGGUGAAGUCGUAACAAGGUAGCCGUA
rnacentral:rRNA from 1 species